rnacentral:lncRNA from 10 species
CAACAUUCAGCCUCCUCUGCCCAUCAGCCUUGCUGACACAGGGAGUGGAGAUUUGUGUAGAGAAAUGACUCAUUCAAAUAUGACUUAAUCUAAACCGUAAGUGUAUGAUUUAUUAAUGUGCCACCAGGCCUUACACCAAGAGAGCCAUUCCAGAGAAAAGUCCUUUUUCUCCUGAGAACAGUGCCAGCAGCUGGCUUCGUGACAUUCUGGAAGCCCCGUGCAAUGCUGUCAGGAGCAUAGGGAUUUUACUUUAUCUCCCUUGCUUAUGCUCCACAUAACUGAAAUAUCUCACUGGAAGCUGCAGCAGUGCUGGCCCCUUGCACAGCCAUAUGUGACCACUGCAGAACAAUCAGUUGGAGAGACAGUUUGGACUACAUGGAGGGUGGAGAUAAGGACAAAGUGAAGAAUACACAGGAACCAGUGCCUCCUCCUGGAACUAUGCAACUCCAAGCUGCUUCCAUCAGCUGCUAGGUCCAGUAGGGAGGGACCUACUGAGAGCAUUGCCAGAAAACUCAUUUCUCAGUGACACCAUUGUAAUUACUCAUUUGAUUAUCCCGCAAUACACAUAUAAGAGUCUCAGGAAAACAGUACCAUCAGCAUUAUAUGAGCUAAUUAAAAAUGUGGUGUCCUGGACUCACGAAGCCAGAAUUGCUGAGGAGAUAGCCCGAGAAUCUGAAUUUUUAGCAGACAUUUUUUUAGGGUGUGGGGAAGAGCGAGAAAAAGAUUUCCGCUCUGGAAGGUAAACAAAUACUCUCUGGAGAGAGAAGAGGAAUGUCCCUAGCAGAUGUCUCCAGAGAAGACAAGACUUUAAAUUCCGCCAGGGAAAUAUACAAUGUCUAACUUCUAAGGCACAUUUGCCAUUCAAUCAUGCUUUAACCCACGUUGCCAGAAAUUUUUGCUCACUAGGUUUUGACUGUACAGGAAUGUGAAAAUAUUCAUGAAGAGUUGUUUUCCAAUGCUAAAGAAUUGAUGUGUUUUAACAGUUGAAUUAAUUGUAUUGAUUAUGAUCACACCUACUUUUUAUAUAUCUUCAUUUCUAACGUUUCUGUACAAUCCUGCCUUUCCACCUGAUAUAGUUAGGCCUUGUGUCAUCAACCAAAUCUCAUCUUGAAUUGUAAUCGCCAUAAUCCCCACGUAUUUAGGGAGAGACCUGGAGGGAGGUGUUUGGAUCAUGGGGGCGGUUUCCCGCAUGCUGUUCUCAUGACCAUGAGAGUAAGUUCUCAAGAGAUCUGAUGGUUUUAUAAGCGUCUGUCAUUUCCACUGCUUGCACUUCUGUGUCCUGCCACCUUGUGAAGAAGGACGUGGUUGCUUCCCCUUCCACCAUGAUUGUGUUUCCUGAGGCCUCCCCAGCCUUGCAGAGCUGUGAGUCAAUUAAACCUCUUUCCUUUAUAAAUUACUCAGUCUCUGUAUUCCUCUGCAGCAGUGUGAGAACAGACUAAUACAUCACCACUUUAUUUACUUUACUCUCUCCCCAUACCGAGGUUUUCUACAUUUUCUUUCUAGGUCUCUACAGUUUCUGCAAAGAUCCUUUAUGGAACUCUUAGGGAAGCUGGGAUGUAUAAUAAAUAAAGGGCUCUUUUCUUUGAGUCCCACACCCAUUUUCUGUGUAUAAAAAUCUUCAACUCCACUUUUGUCUGUUCUAUUUAAAUGUGUGCACAUUUCCUUCUAAUGUUGUAUAUGAAAAAGAGACACCUCUUAGCAGUCUUUCAUAGAGCAAAAUUUUUUACUUUGAUAAAAUCUAAUUUAUCAAUAUUUUUAAAUUUUAUGGAUCAAUCAUGCUUUUGAGGUUGAAUUUAAGAAUGCUUUGCCUAGCCCUAGAUCCCAAGUAUCUUUUAAAAAUUAUUUUUCUAAAUGCAUUAUUUAUGUUUUACACUUAAGUCUAUAAUCCAUUUUGAGUCCAUGUGUAAGAUUUAGGUUAAGGUCAAGAUUUAUCUGUUUUUGUUGUUUUCUCUAUAAAUGUCAAUUGCUCCAGCACUAUUUGUUUAAAAGCCAAUCUUUCCUCCGCUGAGUUCUUCCUAUAAGUUUGUCAAAAGUCAAUUUGGCAUCUUUGUAUAAGUUUAUUUCUGGAUUCUCUAUUCUGUUUUAUUGAUCACUGCAUCUAUCCCUCUUGAUUAGCUAGAUAAUAAAUCCUACAAUAAGGUAGAAUUCUUCCCACUUUAUUCAUAUUCAAAAUAUUUUAAAGCUAUUCUAGUUUCUUUUUAUUUCCAUAUAUAUUUUAGGAUAAUCUUAUCUAUAUUUACAACAUAUGUUGCUAGGAUUUUGAUAGAAUUUGUUUUAAAUUUGUGUAUCAAUGUAGGGAAGACCUGACAUCUUUACUAUUACGUUGAUCUUCCAAUCAAUGAAUAUGGUAUAUCUCUCAGUUUAUAGCUAUUGUCUUUAAUUUAUUUCAUCAUGGUUUUUAGUUUUCAGCAGAGAAGCUUUAUACAUGUUUUGUUAUACAUGUAUAACAAAAGAAGCCUUAUACACUGACAUUUUAUAUUUUGAACAAUUGUAAAUGGUAUUGUUUAAAAAUUUUGUUGUCUAUGAUAGAAAUAAAAUUGAUUUUUGUAGGUUUAUCUUGUAACCUAUGACUUGCUGAGCUCGCUCAUUAGUUUUUUUAUUGUGAUAAAAUAUACAUGAGAUAAAUUUCAUCAUUAUAAUCAUUAAGUUUAGACAUCAAUUGCAUUAAGUACAUAAAUGCCUUAUGCAACCAUCAUCUCUAUCCAUCUCCAGACCCUUUGCAUCACCCUAAAAUGAAACUCUGUGCCCAUUAAACAAUAACUCCCCAUUCUGCCCUCACCCCAGCCCUUGGUAAUUACCAUCCUACCUUUUAUCUCUAUAAAUUUAACCAUCCCAGGUAACUCAUAUAAGUGGAAUCAUGCAGUGUUUGUCCUUUUGUAACUGGUUUAUUUCACUUAGCAUGAUGUCUUCAAGGUUUGCCUAUGUCAUAGCAUGUGUCAGAAUUUCAUCCCUUUUUAAACUUAAAUAAUAUUCCACUGUAGGCAUAUGCCACAUUUUGUUUAUUUGUUCAUCUGUUGAUGGGCAUUUGGGUUGUUUCCACCUUUUGGCUACUGUGAAUAAUGCUGCUGUGAUCAUGGGUAUGCAACUGUCUCCUGGAGUCCCUGCUAUCAAUUCUUGUGGGUAUAUACCCAGAAGUGGAAUUGUUGCAACAUAUAGUAAUUCUAUGUUUAAUUUUUUGAGGACCUGCCAUAAUGUUUUCCACAGUAGCUACAUUGUCUUAUAUUCCCAUUAAGAGUUCCAAUUUCCUCACAUCUUCACCAAUACUUAUUGUUUUCUGUUUUUUUAAAUAAUAGCCAUCAUAAUAAAAGUAACAUGGUAUCUCAUUGUGGUUUUAACUGCAUUUCCCUUUUUACUGGAUUGUUUGUAAUAUUGCUGUAAUUGAGUUGUAGGAGUUUUUAAAUAUGUUCUGAAUAAUUAAUUUCUUAUCAGAUAUGUCAUUUGCAAAUAUUUUCUGCCAUUCUCUGGGUUGUCAUUUCACUCUCUUGAUAGUGUCCUUUGAUGCACAGAAGUUUUGAAAUUUGAUAAAGUUUAAUUUGCGUAUGUAUUUAUUUUGUUGCUUAUGCUUUUGGUGUCAUAUCCAAGAAAUUAUUGCCAAAUUCAGUGUCAUGAAGAUUUUCCCCUGUGUUUUCCUCUAAGAGUAUUAUAGUUUUAACUCUUGCACUUAGAUUGAUCCGCUUUGAGUUAAUUUUAGUAUAUGGGGUAAGACAAGGGCUCAAAUUUGUUCUUUUGUUUGAAGAUUCUAGGUCAUUUGUGAUCUUUAGGAUUUUCUAUGUAGACAUUAAUGUCAUCUUCAAAUAUGAACAGUUUAUUUCUUCCUUUUGUAUAUGUAUGAAUUUACUUUCCUUUUCUUGCCUUAUUGCACUGGCUAGAGUUUUCAGUACUAUGAUGAAUAAAAUCAGUGAGAGCAGACACCCUUGCUUUGUUUCUAAUCUUAGGAGGAAAGCUUUCAGUCUUUCAUCAUUAGGUAUACUGUUAGUUGUAGGCUUAUUAUAGAUGCUCUUUAUCAGGUUGAGGCAGUUUCCUCCUUGGUUAAGACUUUCUAUUUUUCAUUUUCAGUUAUGACCAGGCAUGUUCAUAACUGCUCAUCAAAACUUUGAAUUAGUGGCUGCUUUAACAUCCUUCUCAGACAAUUCUAACAUCUGUUUUGUUGGUGGUGGCAUCUAUCAAUUGUCUUUUUCAUUCUGUUUGAGAUCUUCCUUGCGUUUGGUAUGAUUUUUUUAAAUAUUAUGUCAUGAAACUGCAUCUUAUUUAAAUCUUCUGUUUUAGUUGGCUAUGUCUGACAUCACUUCCCCAGGGGAAGGUGUUGUUACUGCUAGUGGAGGGUGAGAAUUAUGGCUCUCCACUGACAUUGUGGUGGGAUUGGUCCCAUUACCACUGGGCAGGGUUGAAAGUCCUGACUUUCUGCUAGGCCUUCUCUGACUUCAUCGCAGCAGGAGGAAAAGAUGCCUCUGGAGUUGAAGUCAGGUUGCACUGACACUGUGUGUGUAUGGAGGUAGGCUGGGGUGAAAGUGGAGACUCAUUACCACAUGGUGAGUAGUUUCCAGCUCUCUAUUUGGCCUUCUCUGAUACCACCCAGACAGGGACAUUGGGGAUACCUCAUUACAGCCUAGUGAGGGUCAAACUCUAGGCUCCCCACUCAGUCUUUGCUAUCAUGGACACUGUAGGACCAUAGUUUUUUCUGUGCUGUUUGCUUGAUGUGUCUUCCUUGGACCCUGAGUUCCAUAGCUGGUCUGCAUUCCUCUCUCCACCUUUAAGACGUCUUCUUAUGUUUAUUUCAUAUUUAACAUCCAGGGUGGUAAUUAGAGGGAAGAAUAGAGGGAAAAGUACAGUUGCACUUUGUUGUUCAAAGAGCAGUUUUGAACUGCACAGACCCAUUUCUCUGAGCACACCCAGGGAUGAUUGUACUUGUAUAAAAUUUUUUUCCUGGAUGCAGAAUUCUCAAUUGACUGUGAAAGUUCAUAACAAAGAAAACAGUGGGGAAGACAAAUCUGGAAAUGAGGAAAAUAAAAAUUAAAUAGUGAGACCACCCAUGGAGCUUGUGGCAAAGCCUGAAUUGAAUCCGCUGUAUCUUAAGAUUGUGCCUCAUUCUAAAUUUAAGUCACCCUUCUCAUUAUGAAAGUGUCACAACUUCUCAGUAGGUGAGGAGACAGUCUAAAUUUGAGAAAAGAAAGUUACAACAAAGGUUUUGAGCAAGCUGCUAAGUGGAUUUAUUCAUGUUUGAGAAAUCAAAUAUAUGGUUAAUGAGCUCUUUAACUAGAAGCCAACACUAGGGAGGAGUAGACAGAAGUCACGGGGAGGGAGCCCCCGGACAUUUCAAAAGACUUUGCCCUGCAACAUCUCCUCCACAUUUAAGCUUUUAGGUUAUUGUAGCCACAUCACAAGCAUGUUACCUACCCAGAUAUUGUCUGCGCAUCAUUCCCAAAAGCUUCCCUGGGUCUUCAUAAUAUUAAUGAGAUUCUCCCCCAGGUUAGACCCCUUUGGCUUGAGUCAGAAACAGAAUUAAUCCGGGGGACAAUCCAGCAGCACCCAUCUCUGGGUUGCAGAAAUAUCUGAGGUGACCAGGCAGUGUUUGGAGUCCCCUCAGUUAGCUAACAAAGUGAGUUCACAGCUUCCAAGACCCCAGGCUUUCCAGGCUAAUAAAGAGCUGAGGUUAUAGGCUCUCCUUAUCAAACGCUCUUUGGCAGCUGCCAUAACCAUUCCAAGUCUAGUCCUAGAAUAGAAAUGACGCGGUUUCAGGAGCUGACAGAUGGAACUUUAAGCCUUCCUUCCUGCCACAUCUGAAGUUCUUUUUUAAAAAAAUAGAAAACCAUGACAAUAAACACUCCUUGAAUGCCCUGUGGAAAAGUGUACUCCUCAGAAUUCACUAAAGUGGGGUGAAGCAGUGGGUUGUGGUGCUGAGAAAACAUCUCUUCCCCUCGGCAGUAUAUUGGAAUCUCAUAGAAACUUCUGUGGCUGGGAAGCAAACAUGCUCUCUGCCCCAUUGCUCUUAUUCAUCUUUAGACCUGAUAAUACAGUUUGAACUUCAAGUUGCACUUUAAAUGGCAUGCAUUUUUA